rnacentral:lncRNA from 1 species
GGCCACUUGGGCUGUAGACAGUUCCUGGCCGAGCGUCUUCGCUUGGGCUGGGCAUCACCUUGAGACGUGUUCGGCGCCACAAGUGAGCAGUCCUGUCCCGGAGUGUCGGUCCUAGCCAUUACGUAACAAAGGCGCUGCGGCGCGGGGGGUAAGAGAGGGAAGGGAGGCACUGUAGCGCGCUGCCUCGGGCCGCUGGUGAGAAGGGCGGUGUAGCUGUGUCGGUGGGCGUGACAGGACCUGGGUUUGGAACCGGACUCGGAGCGGUUGUGAGCUCGGGACCGGUACGUGGUGGCUUUUGACCGAAUUGGAUGCAAAGCCUCUUGUGUGAGCGAAGUUGCUGUGGCCGUGGAGAGUAUGACUGUGACCCCAGUGACAUCUGCCAUAUAGCCACACCCAAUCCAGAGUAGUGAAAUGGCCCCUCUAGACAUCAUCUGAGCGCCAGGGAGAAGACUCCCAGCGAAAGGGCUCUGACCUGAUCUUGGGAUAAGAAUGUUAGAAGUCAACGAGUCCCUCCAAGCCUGGCUCCUGGGAGGACUCCCACCAUACCACGUCCCGAUGCGCGGACAGACUCCCACGCCCUCACACUCAGUUCUGGGGAUGGGGGUCCACCUGCAGGUUUCAGGUACUAGGGAUUGAAUGCAGAGUGCCCUCCAGGAAGCUAUUAUGAACUGCAGUCCAGCCCUGGGUAUCCGUGACCCCUGCCUUUCAUGGAUACAGGGAAGGGUUCUGAAUUGGUGUGAAUAGGUGUAGGCGUGACUGGGUAGAGGCAUAUGGGGUCGUGGCUCUGUGACCUCAUUUAAACAGGCUGGGCUCCAAGAAAGGCCUGGAUUUUAAGAUUUCUUUCUUUCCCAGUUCUGCUGAACUUGUACAUGCCUCGAAGGAAAAGGAAAGAAUUGCCAUUUACCAUUUAAAAGUCAAGGUCAAGGCGGAUAGUUUCCCCUUGUUCUGUGAAAUGCAUUUUUAUUUUUUAGGACAUAGGAACAUUUGCUCCCUUCUCUCUCUCUUUUUAUUUAUUUUUGAGGUACUGUGGUCUCUUCUUUUUAAAAGUUAUCUUCAUUGAACUGCUACCUAGGCUGGCUCCCUAGUGCCUCUAUGCGGGUAUCCAUUUGGAAUGCUUUCAGUACUUCUGUCAACUUUAUUUUUUUAAGAAUUUUUUAGUUGUAGAUGGACAUAAUAUCUUUUGUUUGUUUGUUUUUUAUGUGUUGCUGAGGAUUGAACCCAGUGCUUCACACAUUUUAGGCAAGCGCUCUACCACUGAGCUUACAUCAGCCUUGUGGGCUUUAUUUUUAUAAUUAUGAACUCUUAGAAUAAGUAGAUAAUAAACAUUAGCUCGAACAAAAAUUCUUUUUUAAAUAUGUAUAUAUAUAUUUAAAAAAAUAUAUUUAUUUUUUAGUUUUAGGUGGACACAAUAUCUUUAUUGUGCUGAGAAUCGAAUCCAGUGUCUCACGCAUGCUAGGCAAGUGCUCUACAUCUGUGCUACAACCCCAGCCCUAGAAUAAGAAUUAUUUUUAAAUUUUUUUUUUUAGUUGUUGAUGGACCUUUAUUUUAUUCAUUUAUUUAUAUGCAGUGCUGAGAAUCGAACCCAGUACCUCACACAUGUGCUAUUCCACUGAGCCACAACUUCAGCCCUGAACAAGAAUUCUUAACCAGGGUAAUUUGAAACUAUUUAGGUCUUUCAGCAGACUAAACACCCUAUGAAACUGUAUGUAAAAAUUUUUUGUAGAUACUCGUUAAUAUGUCAUUCUUCUGGAGACAAAUUCUGUAAUUUAACAUGACCCCAAAAGAUACACAUCCAUUGCCAUAAAUUUAAAGAUUGUAAUAUCUAAGAAUGUUUAGUUUUUUGGUACUAGGGAUUGAACCCAGGGCCUCAUGCCAUGGAUGCUGGCCAAGUAGUCUAGCACUGAGCUGUAUCCUAAGCACCCCACCCAC